GUUUUGUCUGGGGCUCGUCCUGCUACAUUUCUUGGUUCCCUGAACAGGAAGCGAGGUAACUGACGGACGGCCAAGGCAGCCCCUUGGGUGGCUUAGGCCUGCCCUGUGGAGCAUCCCUGCGGUGGACUCUGGCCAGCCUGAGUGACGCGAUCCAAAGAGCGCUCCCGGGUAGGAAAUUCCCCGGGUGGAACGCCUCGCCAGAGCAGCACGUAGCAGGCCCCCGAGGAGGAUUAACACACUGGCUGAACACUGGGAAGGAACUGGCACUUGGAGUCCGGACAUCUGAAACUUGCAACCCACUCUCUGUGCUAUGACUUCAUUACUCUUUCCCAGCCCAGCCCUGGGCAAGCCCCUUACGAAGUCUCAGGCUACCUGGAUGACCACCCUUUCUUAUGAUGCUGCAAGGAGGGCAGGUGGGCAGAGCCCCGUGCAUCCUGGGCUCAGGCCAGGGACCCAAGAGCUUGGGAGAAGCUGGUUCUCAGACUGAAGGCCAGAGCCCAGCACCUUGUCACCAUCCCGGGGAGCAUCAUGGCACACAACAACCAGAGCCAAGGUGUGCAGAGAAGUCUACAUUCCCAUGUCAAGCUACAGCUAGAGAGUUGACUCCUCUAUUUGAGAUUGACAGGCCUCGGAAGUCAAAAUAAGUGGUUUCCUAGACCGGGUCGAGAGCAAGUCUCUAUUGGUCCCAACUGAGUUUUUUCAGCUGGUUUUUCAACCAAACAGCACCUCAUCUCCCAGUGAGGGGAAGGGAAGGCUGGGCUGAGAGCAGCAAGGCUGCUCAUCUCACCUCUCCCCACCCAGCCAUGCCAGCCGCCUCACCUGGUGGGGAGAGGUGGGCCUCACCUGGGUCCCCUGGCAGUGCUCUGUGAAGGGUCUUGACAUUGCACUGUAAUAAUAAAGGUGUGUGUGAAGUAUC
rnacentral:lncRNA from 1 species